GUCAAGAGUAUCGACUGUACCGCCCUCUCAGCAUCAUCAUGUCAUCAACAGCAGCUGUAGUGGUCCAGAAGUCGUUAAGAAUGUGGCGAAUUGUAGCAGUGUGUUUGAUGUUGCUAGCUCUAACGGAUCUCUGCACGGCACAGCGUGUGCGUCGAAGGCAUCCACACUAUCCAAAGUUUGAAAUUUUAUGGCCACUGCAUUGGGUCAGUGCGGCGUACGUGUGGGGCUUUCUGAAGCUGGGAGCCAUAUUCGCCGGGCUGAUGCUACUGUUUGUCUUUCGCCAUCUUUCCUGGUGGAACAGUACACCAACGUACCUCGGCCAUGAUGCUCUUGUGUACCAUUUUAGAGGAUUCAGUACUAACAGAGGCGAUGAUGUCACAGACAACGGAUACAGGAACGACGAGGUGCUUUAUUGGACUGAUAGGAUUGAAAGGGCAGCUCGACUGUUUGGA